AUUGAACGCUGGCGGAAUGCUUUACACAUGCAAGUCGAACGGCAGCACGGACUUCGGUCUGGUGGCGAGUGGCGAACGGGUGAGUAAUGUAUCGGAACGUGCCCAGUCGUGGGGGAUAACGUAGUGAAAAUUACGCUAAUACCGCAUACGAUCUAUGGAUGAAAGCGGGGGAUCGCAAGACCUCGAGCGAUUGGAGCGGCCGAUAUAAGAUUAGGUAGUUGGUGGGGUAAAGGCCCACCAAGCCAACGAUCUGUAGCUGGUCUGAGAGGACGACCAGCCAAACUGGAACUGAGACACGGUCCAGACUCCUACGGGAGGCAGCAGUGGGGAAUUUUGGACAAUGGGCGAAAGCCUGAUCCAGCCAUUCCGCGUGCAGGAUGAAGGCCCUCGGGUUGUAAACUGCUUUUGUACAGAACGAAAAGGUUUCUACUAAUACUAGGAGCUCAUGACGGUACUGUAAGAAUAAGCACCGGCUAACUACGUGCCAGCAGCCGCCGUAA
rnacentral:rRNA from 1 species